GAAACACCGAGGGUGGUCUGAAAGGACGCGGAAGCAGGCUAUUAUAUCAGAGAUGCUUCGCUGUGACAAUACUCCCUCAGCCACAUUGAGCUGGAAUGCAUGCACCAUACAGGGUAUUAUUUCCAACAUGUCUGCGUACAGCCGUCAGGUGCACCAUGACUACCACCGAAGCAUUGCAGCAUUUACAGGUGGUGGACAGCGG